rnacentral:lncRNA from 1 species
GUGAUAAAAUCUCAAAAAUACGUAACAUUAUUAAUGGACGUACUCGCUGUUGAGCUCUAGCUGGCUCAGUUUAAAACCGUGGUUUCUGCUUGGCCUAGAUCCUCUUCGUGGAGAAUUCACCAGGCCUCACUCGUUUCACAUGAGCUUUCUCUCUACUGCCGUGAACGGUGGGACUGGGAAUUCCGGUUGCUCCUCAUUUGUGUCAAGCGUCUAAGAGGAAGAACGGAGUAAGACAAAAUUAGGCAUGAGGUUGGUGUUCAAUAUCUUGGAAAUGUUUUCUUACCACUGUAUAGAAGGAAUAUAAUAUAUAU